rnacentral:rRNA from 1 species
UACGUAGGAAGCGAGCGUUAUCCGGAUUUACUGGGCGUAAAGUGGACGUAGGCGGCUCGUCAAGUCGGAUGUGAAAUCUCCUGGCUUAACUGGGAGGGGUCAUCCGAUACUGUCGGGCUGGAGUGCAGCAGGGGAAGGUGGAAUUCCCGGUGUAGUGGUGAAAUGCGUAGAUAUCGGGAGGAACACCAGUGGCGAAGGCGGCCUUCCAGGCUGUUUCUGACGCUGAGGUCCGAAAGUGUGGGGAG